UGUGUUGGCUUAGUGGUAGAGCGCUCACCUAGCAUGUGUGAGCUCCUGGGUUCGAUCCUCAGCACCACAU
rfam:Ictidomys tridecemlineatus contig024751, whole genome shotgun sequence.